CUCUGUUUUAAUGCAGGCAAGAAAGCGAGUCAACCUUCCUGAAAGAAGUCAAGGUAAAGCAGCUUUGCUGUUGCCUUGGGAAGGAGGAGCUCUACCACUGAGCAGAGCUUCUUUCUGGGCUCCCAGGAGACCCUGGAGCAGGCAGCUGAAGGAAGUCUUAGGGUAUCUGGGGCUGUCAUGUUGGGAGCCCAAGGUCAGCCCAAGGCCAGAUCAUCAUCCACUUCCUAAUGAAUUGCAUCUUCUCACCAUCCCGAA
rnacentral:lncRNA from 1 species